CUCAGAGCUUCCAGGUUGUGAGCUUGUGCAGGUGGAUUUCGCUGCGUGGUUUUUGAAUGACUGUUUAACGUCGUGGGGACAGGGGGGGCACAGUGAUACAUUUACAUAGAGCGGAUGUACAAAAACCUCGCUGGGUUUGUAAUACUGGAAAUGAAAACACAAGGCAAGAAAUUUGCUGACUCGGGUAAACCAAAGAACUGGGCCGGGAAGCAAACGCUGGCUUCUUCUUUACCGAACAGAACAGCGUCCAUUCGUCCGAUAAUACAGAGGUGAAGUUCCGCUUUAUUACCGAGAGCAUGGCAGCCAACAGGCCCCUUAAUGUACCAUGGUGCCUCUGCAUCCGAGGUGUUCUUCGGAAAUGGAACCAAACUUACUGUUCUGGAAAGUGGAACCAACAUAUCGUACCCCGAAGUGAAAAUCCUACCACCAUCCAAACAGGAGAUUCAGCAUAAUCGGGUCACUUUGGUCUGUGUGGUGACCAAUUUUUUCCCUGACCAUGUUACCGUCGAAUGGUACAUAAACGACCAGCUGGAGGAGAGCCAGGCAAAAUCAGAUGAUUUUGCAACGCGGUCAGGGCAGACCUAUAGCAUCACUAGCCGACUGCGAAUAUCUCUGAAGCUGUGGUACAGCAGCAAGUACAGCUUCACUUGUUCCGUCAACUUUUUUAAUGGGAACAAUACUAAAGUGUUUAGGGCUUCUAUCCAAGGGGACACAGAUUGUGUAAAGACUGCAGGUAAGGUUAAAGUGGAUGGCAAUAUGGCAAAAUUUUCAUACCUUCUGUUCCUGGCAAAGAGCGUACUGUUUUCACUCUUUAUAACGGUUUUCGUGUUCAGACUGAAGGGCUCUUCAAAAACCAGAUGAGGCGAGAUGCAGAGACAAGUGAAAACUGCUCAAGUAACUCCUGUAUCUUUAGCGGUUUUAAUUUUCUUUAAUGAGAUAUUAACCGAACUUGACAUUAUUGCUCAAUAAAUGUCAUUCAGCAUGCAGUUUUUGUUAUUGCAAUAUUAUUCAAACUUAAUUAUGUAAAUUACUAAGCUAGAUAGAAAAACAAAUCCCUUUUAUAUUUUAUAUGCAAAGACAGUAGCUUGAUGUCUGUAAUUUUUUUAAUUUCAGUUAAUUGACCUUUAAUAGAUUCCUCUCCCGAAUAAGUGGUUAAAAGAACAAGGAAUGCUUGGCUUAUUUGCGAAGAAACCGGGUUUGUGGAAUAAAAGUUUAUGAUAUGA